rnacentral:rRNA from 1 species
UCCCGCAACGAGCGCAACCCUUGUCCUUAGUUGCCAGCAUUUGGUUGGGCACUCUAAGGAGACUGCCGGUGACAAACCGGAGGAAGGUGGGGAUGACGUCAAAUCAUCAUGCCCCUUAUGAGUUGGGCUACACACGUGCUACAAUGGACGGUACAAAGGGCAGCGAAGCCGCGAGGUGGAGCCAAUCCCAGAAAGCCGUUCUCAGUUCGGAUUGCAGGCUGCAACUCGCCUGCAUGAAGUCGGAAUCGCUAGUAAUCGCAGGUCAGCAUACUGCGGUGAAUACGUUCCCGGGUCUUGUACACACCGCCCGUCACACCACGAGAGUUUGCAACACCCGAAGUCGGUGAGUAACCGUAAGGAGCCAGCCGCCGAAGGUGGGGCAGAUGAUUUAAGCAAGUAACCAUAGAGUUNUCCCUGCUC